rnacentral:tRNA from 1 species
UGGGGUAUAGCCAAGCGGUAAGGCAGCGGACUUUGACUCCGUCAUUCCGGUGGUUCGAAUCCACCUAUCCCAGCCA